rnacentral:rRNA from 1 species
GCCACGGCCCGGAUUCUUACGGGAGGCAGCAGUGGGGAAUAUUCCACAAUGGGGCCAACCCUGAGCCAGCGACGCCGCGUGAGGGAUGACGCCUUUCGGUUGUUAACCCUUUUCCACCAGGGAGGAAGCGAAAGUGACGGUACCUGCAGAAGAAGCGCCGGCUAACUACGUGCCAGCAGCCGCGGUAAUACGUAGGGCGCAAGCGUUGUCCGGAAUUAUUGGGCGUAAAGAGCUCGUAGGCGGUUUGUCGCGUCUGCUGUGAAAGCCCGGGGCUCAACCCCGGGUCUGCAGUGGGUACGGGCAGACUGGAGUGCAGUAGGGGAGACUGGAAUUCCUGGUGUAGCGGUGAAAUGCGCAGAUAUCAGGAGGAACACCGAUGGCGAAGGCAGGUCUCUGGGCUGUAACUGACGCUGAGGAGCGAAAGCAUGGGGAGCGAACAGGAUUAGAUACCCUGGUAGUCCAUGCCGUAAACGUUGGGCACUAGGUGUGGGGGACAUUCCACGUUCCGCGCCGUAGCUAACGCAUUAAGUGCCCCGC